CUGUCCUGCAUGUUUUGGAUGUUUCCCUGCUCCAACACACCUGAUUCGAAUGAUUAGCUCGUUAUCAAGCUCUGUAAUGUCUUAAUAACGAGCUGAUCAUUUGAAUCAGGUGUGUUGGAGCAGGGAAACAUCCAAAACAUGCAGGACAGUGGGCCUCGAGGACAGGACUUGAGAACCGCUGCUUUAAAGGAAGAGUCGGACAUUUGGGAUGAAGGUUUGUCUACAAUCUAACCUCGAGUCAGAUGAGUUUUUUGCAGGACAGUGGGCCCCGAGGACUGGAUUUGAGAACCACUGAAUUAAACCCUCUAUGACUUUUACCUUGUUUUCUCCACUAGAAGAACAUCCUAAAGCGUCUUGGUGGCAUUUUAGUUCCUUUAAGUACAUGGUUCAGGUCAGUUUAUCUUGUUUUCUACUCUAUGAACGCACCAUAGAGUUAACCUUGUCAUUUUUUCUCUGUUCAAGGGAAGAUAACCAAAUGUUUUUUUGUGUUUUCCCCCCUUCAGUAAACCCUAAUUGAUAG